rnacentral:misc_RNA from 1 species
AAGUCGUAACAAGGUUUUCGUAGGUGAACCUGCGGAAGGAUCAUUAACACGUAUCCAAACGUUAAACCCACCCCUGCUCUUGUAACCCACGUAGUUCGCAAUCUCUGAUAAAUCAUAGCCCGGAAAGUUGUAGUGAUUCAGAGACCUCUGGCUACGUGCGAACAUUGGAACAGUUACAAUCGAGCGGUAGUUCUAUAGGCAAUGUUCGGAAAGUGUCAUUGAUUGUGCAAGGAUAGCGCUUCUGCGAUUCCUGUAGACCCGUACACUUGGGCAGGAGCUUUGCCAAAGGGUCCCCAUGCCCCCUAAUAAUUCCACAGUUUAAUGUGAAGCUCAAUGUAAUACAUUGGGUAAAAAAACCGAACAACUGUUAACAAUGGAUAUCUUGGUUCUC